rnacentral:rRNA from 1 species
AGUGAACGCUGGCGGUAGGCCUAACACAUGCAAGUCGAACGGCAGCACAGUAAGAGCUUGCUCUUACGGGUGGCGAGUGGCGGACGGGUGAGGAAUACAUCGGAAUCUACUUUUUCGUGGGGGAUAACGUAGGGAAACUUACGCUAAUACCGCAUACGACCUACGGGUGAAAGCAGGGGAUCUUCGGACCUUGCGCGAUUGAAUGAGCCGAUGUCGGAUUAGCUAGUUGGCGUGGUAAAGGCCCACCAAGGUGACGAUCCGUAGCUGGUCUGAGAGGAUGAUCAGCCACACUGGAACUGAGACACGGUCCAGACUCCUACGGGAGGCAGCAGUGGGGAAUAUUGGACAAUGGGCGCAAGCCUGAUCCAGCCAUACCGCGUGGGUGAAGAAGGCCUUCGGGUUGUAAAGCCCUUUUGUUGGGAAAGAAAAGCAGCAGGUUAAUACCCCGCUGUUCUGACGGUACCCAAAGAAUAAGCACCGGCUAACUUCGUG